rnacentral:snRNA from 1 species
GUGCUGGCUUCGGCGGCACAUAUACUAAAAUAGGAA